AGUGAACGCUGGCGGUAGGCCUAACACAUGCAAGUCGAACGGCAGCACAGUAAGAGCUUGCUCUUACGGGUGGCGAGUGGCGGACGGGUGAGGAAUGCAUCGGAAUCUACUUUUUCGUGGGGGAUAACGUAGGGAAACUUACGCUAAUACCGCAUACGACCUACGGGUGAAAGCAGGGGAUCUUCGGACCUUGCGCGAUUGAAUGAGCCGAUGUCGGAUUAGCUAGUUGGCGGGGUAAAGGCCCACCAAGGCGACGAUCCGUAGCUGGUCUGAGAGGAUGAUCAGCCACACUGGAACUGAGACACGGCCCAGACUCCUACGGGAGGCAGCAGUGGGGAAUAUUGGACAAUGGGCGCAAGCCUGAUCCAGCCAUACCGCGUGGGUGAAGAAGGCCUUCGGGUUGUAAAGCCCUUUUGUUGGGAAAGAAAAGCAGCAGGUUAAUACCCCGCUGUUCUGACGGUACCCAAAGAAUAGGCACCGGCUAACUUCGUG
rnacentral:rRNA from 1 species